UAUCAAAACAAGAUAAUAUUGACACUAAUACUACUACUAUUACUACUACUACUACUACUACACCAAAUGCUACUACUACAAUGACUGCUACUACCAGUAAUACCAAUGCUGGUCAACUAAAUAUAAUAGAAAGAAACAAAACGGAUAAUACAAUAAAACAGUUAGAAAAAGAAAUAAACGAAUAUAAAUCGAACGUAAUUUUGUUAAACAAGAAAGUAAAUGUAUUAACGAUGAGAGAGGAAAAAUAUAAUAAAAUAAAAAUAGACUUAGAUGUUUUAAGAAACGAAAAAAAUGAAUAUAUAAAUAUUAUUAACAGUUUAAAAAAAAGUAAAACUGAAAAUUCAAAUCAACUUUCAUAUAUUACUACACAACUAAUAGAAACUAAAAAUAAAUAUAACGAAUUACUUAAAAAUUAUGAGCAAAAAAAAAAAUAUUAUGUUGGAACAAAUCAAAACAGUGUCAGCUCCGAUAUAGAUAUUUAUUAUAUGAAAAAAAUUAUAUAUAAUUUAUAUAAUGAAAAUUUUUUAAAUAAAAUCAAUAAGCAUUAUUAUCUGUUUGAUCAAAAAAUGAACUAUCAUAAUACAGUUUAUGAAAACUUUUCAAAAAAUAAUUUUUUUUAUCACCUACAUAGAGAACAAGAAAAAGAAGAAAAUAAAAAAAAUACACAAGAACAGGAAUUUGCAUCUAAAGAAACAGACACAUUUAUGCAAAACGCACACAAACGCAACCUUGAAACUGAAGAGGAAAACAUUUUAAAUCAAAAAUUAAACAACAUUCUAUCAAACGAUCUUUAUUUUUUUAACAAUAAACACAGUCUAUUAUAUGAUGAUAUAUACAACUGCGAACUAACCAAACGCGUUCUGAAUUCUCCAAACCAAAAUUAUUUUAAAAAUAGUUUAUAUAAAACUCUUUUUGUCAACUCUUUUAACGCAGAAAAAAAAAAUAAUAACAAUUAUGAACAACUACAUGCAUUAAUUGAUUAUUACAAAAAUUUAAAAAAUCAAAUAUUAAUCGACUUAAUAAUCAUGCCAAUUUCUAGUAAUCCAACGGAUAUACAAGUAAAGCAGUUAGAAAACAAAUGGAGACUUCUGCAUACCAAAUUAACAAACUUUAAAAAUAUAAUCAAAAAUUAUUCUUCAUGUAGUAAUACAAAGUCAUCAUUAGAGCAAUCCAUAGACCAGUUAAACAAAGUUAUAAAUAUUACCUUUUCAGAAACAUUUGAAAAAAACGGUGAAAAUAUUGUUAAAAAUCAAAGUGAUGGUGUUGGAAAAAACAAUGGUGUUGAUAAGCAAGGUGUGACAUAUCCACAAUCUACAACUCAGAAGCAAAAUUAUA
rnacentral:lncRNA from 1 species